GACGAACGCUGGCGGCGUGCUUAACACAUGCAAGUCGAACGGAAAGGCCUUUUUUGGGGGGUACUCGAGUGGCGAACGGGUGAGUAACACGUGAGUAAACUGCCCCUUACUUUGGGGUAACUUCACGAAACUGGGGCUAAUAUCGGAUAGGAGCUCUUGCUGCCUGGUGGGGGUUGGAAAGUUUCGGCGGGUGGGGGUGGACUCGCGGGUUUUCUGCUUGUUGGUGGGGUAGUGGCUUUCCAGGGAUUUGACGGGUAGCCGGCCUGAGAGGGGGGCCGGGGAAGUUGGGAUGGAGGAACGGCCCAGGACGCUAGGGGGGGGAGCAGUGGGGAAUAUUGCACAAGGGGCGGAAGCGUGAUGCAGCAACGCCGGGUGCGGGAUGAGGGCCUUAGGGUGGGAAACAGCUUUCGCCUGUGACGAAGCGUGAGUGACGGUAAUGGGUAAAGAAGCACCGGCUAACUACGUG
rnacentral:rRNA from 1 species